UUCGCCCUUUUCCGGUUGAUCCCGCCGGACCCCACUGCUAUCGGGAUAGGACUAAGACAUGCUAGUCAAGCGCUUUCUAGCUAAUGUGAGAGCGCGGCGUACAGCUCAGUAACACGUGGCCAACCUGCCCUUGGGACGGGAACACCCCCGGGAAACUGGGGUUAAUUCCCGAUAGGUGAAGAAGUCUGGAAUGAUUCUUCGCUCAAAAGACGUUUAUGUCAUGCUCAUAUUCGUCGCCCAGGGAUGGGGCCGCGACCGAUCAGGUAGUUGGUGAGGCAAUGGCUCACCAAGCCUUUUACCGGUGCGGGCCGUGAGAGCGGGAGCCCGGAGAUGGGCACUGAGACAAGGGCCCAGGCCCCACGGGGCGCAGCAGUCGCGAAAAUUUUGCAAUACACGAAAGUGUGACAGAGCUAUCCCGAGUGCCAUCCGCUGAGGAAGGCUUUUACCCAGUAUAAAUAGCUGGGAGAAUAAGGAGAGGGCAAGUCUGGUGUCAGCCGCCGCGGUAAUACCAGCUCUCCGAGUAGUGUGGACGUUUAUUGGGCCUAAAGCAUCCGUAGCCUGCUAGAUAAGUCCUCUGUUAAAUCCACCGAUUCAAUCGUUGGAUUGCGGGGGAUACUGUUUGGCUAGGGGACGGGAGAGGUCGACGGUAUUUCCGGGGUAGGGGUGAAAUCCUAUAAUCCCGGGA
rnacentral:rRNA from 1 species